rnacentral:rRNA from 1 species
GACGAACGCUGGCGGCGUGCUUAACACAUGCAAGUCGAACGGAAAGGCCCUGCUUGCAGGGUACUCGAGUGGCGAACGGGUGAGUAACACGUGGGUGAUCUGCCCUGCACUUCGGGAUAAGCCUGGGAAACUGGGUCUAAUACCGGAUAGGAGCCAUUUUUAGUGUGAUGGUUGGAAAGUUUUUUCGGUGUAGGAUGAGCUCGCGGCCUAUCAGCUUGUUGGUGGGGUAAUGGCCUACCAAGGCGGCGACGGGUAGCCGGCCUGAGAGGGUGGACGGCCACAUUGGGGCUGAGAAACGGCCCAGACUCCUACGGGAGGCAGAAGUGGGGAAUAUUGCACAAUGGGCGCAAGCCUGAUGCAGCGACGCCGCGUGGGGGAUGACGGCCUUCGGGUUGUAAACUCCUUUCGCUAGGGACGAAGCUUUUUGUGACGGUACCUAGAGAAGAAGCACCGGCUAACUACGUG